UACGUAGGGUCCGAGCGUUGUCCGGAAUUAUUGGGCGUAAAGAGCUCGUAGGCGGUCUGUCGCGUCGGCUGUGAAAACCUGGGGCUCAACUCCAGGCCUGCAGUCGAUACGGGCAGGCUGGAGUUCGGUAGGGGAGACUGGAAUUCCUGGUGUAGCGGUGAAAUGCGCAGAUAUCAGGAGGAACACCGGUGGCGAAGGCGGGUCUCUGGGCCGAUACUGACGCUGAGGAGCGAAAGCGUGGGGAGCGAACAGG
rnacentral:rRNA from 1 species